GUUUGUUUAAUAUUAUGUUUGUCUCUCAUUUGAUCAGAUUGCUUUACCCUGAGGUAAACGUCAUAAAAUGGGUCCAGUGCAAGACGUGCAGGGGCUGGCUGCAUCAGGAUUGUGCUGGGAUUGAAAUGGAGCCGUUUGACUGCGGGUGCGAGGACUCCAUUGAGCAUCCUCGGUAUAACAUAAUUUAUCAAGGAAACAUAGUAUCUGUCAAAAAUACGAGGCUCAAAGGAUGAAAAAAUGAGGGCUUGCUCUUUUCUUAUUUCUCUGCAGGAUCAAGGAUGCUGUUGACAGUUGAGGAAUUCAUGCUGUCUUUUCUAAGACACAGAUCAAGGUUGCUUUUGAAUGCACUAUCAGUUGUUAAAGCCACCAUUUCUUUUUCAGAUGAUUACAUUUUUGUCUCUUGCUCUUUGGUUUCAGACAUUACACGAUGAUCUACUGUCUGGAAAGAUCCGCUCCAACAGAAUGUUCCUUUGGAGGAAUCCCGCCACCUCACUCCGACUAAAGCAGCAUCUUAAGAUAAGGACACUAAGUUGGAGUGAGCAGCGCGUAAGUAAAAAUGCCAUCCAUCAUGAGUAUUUUUACUCUCAGGGGUGUUACAUUUGAAAGGUGUUUACUUUCUGUGUUUUUCUUCAAUAGAUGUUCGAGCUCCUGCGGUUCAUUGAGGUGGCAACAAACAUUUCUAAAAAAAUAAAGAGAGGCGAGAUUUAUCUGCUUGAUUUCGUUUUUGACGUCAUGCUCCCAGAGGUGAGUAGAUCAAACUAUAUAGCUUGCUUUGAAAAUUGAUGAUAUUGUUAAGAGGUUGUUCUUAUUCAUUUGGAAAGCUCAAGAACAACAAUUAACCCAUACUGCAUAACUUCAAUUGUUCACAUUAUUUGACUGUUUUUCAGCUUUUGAUCAAAGCACUGAAGGAGCAUGGCAUCAGCCGGUUCAGAGCAGAGCUGAUGAUGGCCUGUGGCAACGUGUUUUAAGCCCCCCACCACACCGACGGC
rnacentral:lncRNA from 1 species